rnacentral:rRNA from 1 species
ACGGAGGGUGCAAGCGUUGCUCGGAAUCACUGGGCGUAAAGAGAGCGUAGGCGGAUAAUUUAGUCAGAUGUGAAAGCCCGGAGCUCAACUCCGGAAUUGCAUCUGAAACUGGUUAUCUAGAGUACAGGAGAGGAGAGUGGAAUUCCUGGUGUAGAGGUGAAAUUCGCUGAUAUCAGGAGGAACACCCGUGGCGAAGGCGACUCUCUGGUCUGAUACUGACGCUGAGGCUCGAAAGUGUGGGGAGCAAACAGG